GAUGAACGCUAGCUACAGGCUUAACACAUGCAAGUCGAGGGGAAACGAUAUUGGAAGCUUGCUUCCGAUAGGCGUCGACCGGCGCACGGGUGAGUAACGCGUAUCCAACCGGCCCAUCACUUUGGGAUAACCUUGCGAAAGUAAGAAUAAUACCCAAUGACGUCUCUAGAAGACAUCUGAAAGAGAUUAAAGAUUUAUCGGUGAUGGAAGGGGAAGCGUCUGAUUAGCUUGUUGGCGGGGUAACGGCCCACCAAGGCGACGAUCAGUAGGGGGUCUGAGAGGAAGGUCCCCCACAUUGGAACUGAGACACGGUCCAAACUCCUACGGGAGGCAGCAGUGAGGAAUAUUGGUCAAUGGGCGAGAGCCUGAACCAGCCAAGUAGCGUGCAGGAUGACGGCCCUAUGGGUUGUAAUCUGCUUUUAUAAGGGAAUAAAGUGGGAGUCGUGACUCCUUUUGCAUGUACCUUAUGAAUAAGGACCGGCCAAUUCCGUGCCAGCCGCCGCGGUAA
rnacentral:rRNA from 1 species